GGACUACUGGGGUAUCUAAUCCUGUUUGCUCCCCGCACUUUCGCACCUCAGCGUCAGUCAUCGGCUGGAAGCUCGCCUUCGCCACCGGUGUUCUUCCUGAUAUCUACAGAUUUCACCCCUACACCAGGAAUUCCAGCUUCCCCUCCGUGACUCAAGCCUCGCAGUUUCCAACGCAGUCCCGCAGUUAAGCUGCGGGCUUUCACGCCGGACUUGCAUGGCCGCCUACGUGCCCUUUACGCCCAAUAAUUCCGAACAACGCUCGCCCCUUACGUGUUACCGCGGCUGCUGGCAC
rnacentral:rRNA from 1 species